rnacentral:rRNA from 1 species
UCGAGGAUCUUCGGCAAUGGACGCAAGUCUGACCGAGCGACGCCGCGUGCGGGAUGAAGGCUUUCGGGUUGUAAACCGCUGUCAGUGGGGAGGAAAUCGUAGAGGGUAAUCUCUCUAUGUUGACCUAUCCGCAGAGGAAGCAAGGGCUAAGUUCGUGCCAGCAGCCGCGGUAAGACGAACCUUGCUAACGUUAUUCGGAAUUACUGGGCUUAAAGGGUGCGUAGGCGGUGCAGAAAGUCGGGUGUGAAAUCCCUCAGCUCAACUGAGGAAUUGCGCCCGAAACUACUGUGCUUGAGGAAGAUAGAGGUACGCGGAACUUAGGGUGGAGCGGUGAAAUGCGUUGAUAUCCUAAGGAACACCGGUGGCGAAAGCGGCGUACUGGGUCUUUUCUGACGCUGAGGCACGAAAGCUAGGGUAGCGAACGGGAUUAGAUACCCGGGUAGUCC